UUACGGCCGUAUCACGCUGAGACAACGGUUCCCUUAUGAACACCGAAGUUAAGCAACGUGGAUCCUGGUCAGUAUCUGGAAGGGUGACCGCUUGGAAAUGCCAGCUACUGUAA